rnacentral:lncRNA from 1 species
AGAAUUUCUCCCAAUUCAUCCUAUUCUUAGACUGUACAAUUAUAAAACUGCUGAAACCAUUGCCUCAAAUCACACUCUUGAUGCUUAUUACCCAGAUACAGAUUCCAUGUCCACAGACAAUGCUAUAAUCUAAACUAGGUCCAACAUACGACCAACUUAUAAGAAUGAAGAAAAGAAGACGAAAAUCUCAUAUGCUAACCAUUCAACUGUCAAGCAGCCAGAAGCAGUCUUCAGUUAAAGCUUUGCCACCACAAUUUGCGUAAGCAGCCC